rnacentral:piRNA from 1 species
UUCAAAAGUUGCCUGAUCUGCAGAC